rnacentral:rRNA from 1 species
AUGUGUUUACCCCACUGGAAGGCGGUGACCCUCCCGAAGAGUAGUCAGGCUUUGCUGGUGCAGUCUGUCCUCUCCGCAAUUUCGGUUCACUCGAUGCUAGCUCUCGACCUCCCUCCGAGGACCAUUGCUGCCAUGAUCAAUAUCUGUCGUGGCUUCCUUUGGGCUGGCAAGGCAGACGCGGGAGGAGGUGCUUGCGCUGUGGCCUGGGAGAGGGUGUGCACACCCAAAUGGGCCGGUGGCCUAGGUAUCCUGGACAUGAGAUGGAUGAACGUGGCCCUACAGGCCAAGUGGCUUCGGUUGCAGCGGAUUGAUCAAAAUAGGCCUUGGCCAGAGUUCUCGUUCUUCGUCUCGAAGGAAUCGAGGAAACUAUUCCAGGCGAUGACCUGCGCGGCCAUGGGAGAUAGGCGAGGCACACUCUUCUAG